rnacentral:rRNA from 1 species
GACGAACGCUGGCGGCGUGCUUAACACAUGCAAGUCGAACGGAAAGGCCCUGCUCUUGUGGGGUGCUCGAGUGGCGAACGGGUGAGUAACACGUGUGUAACCUGCCCUUGACUUUGGGAUAACUUCAGGAAACUGGGGCUAUUAUCGGAUAUGAGCUCCUGCUGCAUGGUGGGGGUUGGAAAGUUUCGGCGGUUGGGGAUGGACUCGCGGCCUAUCAGCUUGUUGGUGGGGUAGUGGCUUACCAAGGCUUUGACGGGUAGCCGGCCUGAGAGGGUGACCGGCCACAUUGGGACUGAGAUACGGCCCAGACGCCUACGGGAGGCAGCGGUGGAGAAUAUUGCGCAAUGGGCGGAAGCCUGAUGCAGCAACGCCGCGUGCGGAAUGACGGCCUUCGGGUUGUAAACCGCUUUCGCCUGUAACGAAGCGUGAGUGACGGUAAUGAGUAAAGAAGCAACGGCUAACUACGUG